GGGAAAUGAAAGCCCCAUUCAACAGGUCUGCCAAGGGCUGGGAGGAGAAGGAGGGCGAGGGUCAGUCCAGCAGCUCUGUCCUUGCCAGGACAGGCCAGAGCACGCGCCCUGGAGGCCCCGGGCGUGAGUCUCGCUCUCCAACGCCUGGGGUCAGGCCCGAGGGACAGGAUCAGGGUGACAAUUAGCCCAAGGCUUUGCCCUCCAUAAAGCAGCCCGGCGGGGGCGGGGCCUGGGGCCUUGUUUGCAUAGUGGCUCCCAUGAUGCUUCACUGCAGCCCGGUCCGGCCGGGGGAUCUCAGGGUGGGGUUCCGAUUCCAGCUCUGGGGACCGUGCCUGCCACUGGGAGUCACCUGGAGAGAGGACAGUGGGGGUUCUUGCCCUCGUGGGGCGUGCCUUCCAGGGAGGUUCCCUUACCCACCAGGCACCACCGUAAUGUUUUAAAUCACUUAUGAUCAGAGGGGGGAGAAAAAAUGAGAGUUAUAGAAAUGUUUUAAUUUUUCUCCCUAUAUCAGAAAAAAAUAAAUUGUAGAGUCCAUGAAAGUCGAUUAAAUUUUGCCUACACAGAAGGAGAAAUAAAAUGUCCUGGACUUCAAGAUACACAUGGAGCACGAUGGCUACACCCACAGACUUUGGAGCCAGCCCCAGUCGACUCAAAUCCCGAUUCUGCCAGGUCUGGAUCUUACCUCAGUACAGCCCGGAGGAAUGCUGGCUGCAGAAGAGAACCUCGGAGCUUAGCAGAAAAAAAUCACACCGUGGUAGGGAUGGUGAGAGCCACCUCUGGGUUCCAGCACCCGAUUUACGUCUGAACUGCAUUCUCUUUCCACACAGGUAGAGUGGACUAUUUCAUUCCCUUUGGCUGCUCAGCCUCCGAAUUUCCUUCCAGUGUCGAGGGAGCUCCCCACUUGAUGACUCCCGGGGGAGGCAGAGACCACUUCCCUUUAUGGAAACUGAAUGUCAGGUUCUUGCUCUCCCAGCUUCUCUUGCAAGCAGGAUGCUGACUGGUGACCUAGGUAUUUUCCAUCAGGUGCACUCAAACUGUACUUUGAGUGAGAGCGGGAGACGCAAGUUGGAGGACAGUGGAAUUCUCGUGUCUCCCCUUUCUCCCUCUCUCCCUGCAGCAGUUACUGCCAGAUCAAGAGCCUAGGGCCAAAAUGGCAGCCAAUAACUGUCACCCAAUGCCAAUUGGUGCUGCCACCACCAUCCCCAGCAGGCCGGUUCUGUGGCUUGACUUUUGGCCUCAUUCCUGCUUGCUUAGUCACCAACCUGAUUCUCUAGCUCAUUUAAUAACCUUCUUUUCUGCUUAAAUUAUCCAGGAUUGGCUUGUGGUCUUGCAACUGAGAACUCUGCUGGAUAGAGUCGGGAUCCUGAUUCACACAGGUAAGGGUUGCAAGUAAGAAAAACUUGCGUGGUAGACACGGAGACGUGGUGCCACUUCCUUCUCAAGGGAGAACAUUUUGCCCAGCCAUGCGGAGUCCUGGCAGCAGGUGACCUCCAGCUGCCAGCUCCUUCAGGGUCUGCCUCGGCUGUGAAGGGGGCUGCUUUACCCAACGUCAGCCCUUCCUGGGGCAGCCUGCAUCCAGCGACGGGGCAAG
rnacentral:lncRNA from 1 species